rnacentral:rRNA from 1 species
UAGGGAAUCUUCCACAAUGGACGAAAGUCUGAUGGAGCAACGCCGCGUGAGUGAAGAAGGGUUUCGGCUCGUAAAACUCUGUUGUUAAAGAAGAACAUAUCUGAGAGUAACUGUUCAGGUAUUGACGGUAUUUAACCGGAAAGCCACGGCUAACUACGUGCCAC